rnacentral:rRNA from 1 species
GAUGAACGCUGGCGGCGUGCCUAAUACAUGCAAGUCGAGCGAACAGACGAGGAGCUUGCUCCUCUGACGUUAGCGGCGGACGGGUGAGUAACACGUGGAUAACCUACCUAUAAGACUGGGAUAACUUCGGGAAACCGGAGCUAAUACCGGAUAAUAUAUUGAACCGCAUGGUUCAAUAGUGAAAGACGGUUUUGCUGUCACUUAUAGAUGGAUCCGCGCCGCAUUAGCUAGUUGGUAAGGUAACGGCUUACCAAGGCAACGAUGCGUAGCCGACCUGAAAGGGUGAUCGGCCACACUGGAACUGAGACACGGUCCAGACUCCUACGGGAGGCAGCAGUAGGGAAUCUUCCGCAAUGGGCGAAAGCUUGACGGAGCAACGCCGCGUGAGUGAUGAAGGUCUUCGGAUCGUAAAACUCUGUUAUUAGGGAAGAACAAAUGUGUAAGUAACUAUGCACGUCUUGACGGUACCUAAUCAGAAAGCCACGGCUAACUACGUG